GACGAACCGUGCGAACGUUAUUCGGAAUCACUGGCUUAAAGCGCGUGUAGGCGGAUGGGGACGUCGGUCGCUGAAAUCCCCCGGCUCAACCGGGGAACGGGCGCCGAAACGCCCCGUCUCGAGGGACGUAGGGGGACCUGGAACUUCCGGUGGAGCGGUGAAAUGCAUUGAGAUCGGAAGGAACGCCCGUGGCGAAAGCGAGGUCCUGGACGUCUACUGACGCGAGACGCGAAAGCUAG
rnacentral:rRNA from 1 species